rnacentral:lncRNA from 1 species
CGUCAUCAGGUGGGGAUUACGAGCCCCGUUUCUGCUCUCUAGAGAGAGCCUUUGUUCUCAUUGUUUUCUUCCAUACCCUCUCAAACUACUUUUUCAGCCUCUAUUUCGAACGUCGUCUUGAAUCCCCGCAGCCACAUAGCUCCACACAGCAGAACACGGUGACUUUGUUUCUGCACAGCCUUACCGAGGGGCUUUGUGACCUCACAACCCUCUGCUGCUAUGGAGGGCCUUCCUGCAGUCUGUGCCUCUCAGUGCACCGCACCGGGAUUGAUCCAAGAGUAAUAAAUAAAGAAGUUAAUGUACAAGUAUAAUGCGGAUAAGAGCACAGAAAAACAGAAAAGAAUGACUUUCAAUGGAGGUAUCGUCAAUAACUGAAAAUAUUGACCAGCAGUGGCACCACUCAGUCCUGUUUAAAAAAGAACUGCGUUAUAAGGGAGAAUCUUCUCAGAAUCUGAUGCUCAUUAGUUGGAUCAUCAAAGCUCAAUUCUGUCCAUGGCCAUCCAGAACUUGGCUUGCCUUUCACAUCGCUGUUGCAACUGCUGAUAUGCAUCACCCACCACCUUGCUGCACUCGCAUUCUCUGUUUGGACUCCAAAAAUAUUCAUUACACAGCAAGUAACAGAC